UUCAGUGUGUGCCUGCUCUAAACCCCACUGCAGCUCCAUACAGAGACCCUUCCUGGCUCUGUCAUUGCUCAGCUCUGGGUGUGAUUGUGUGGGUGUGAUUGGUUGAUUGUGGCCUGCCCGGACACUUUCCUCUCUGGAGGCACUUUCGGGAAGGUAUCAUCACCUGACCACCUCCACCGGACACCUCCUGGGAGUGUCCCCAGCUGGGUGGACUCUUCAAGCAGUAGCCAUGUGGUAGGAGAGCAGAACUGGCAGCAGUGCCUGGGGGUGAGCAGGACAGAAAGACAGGGAACGCUGUUUGCUGCUGCAAGCUGAGCACGAGUCUUGCCUUAAGUCUUAACAAGGGGAAGAGAUGGAUGAGUAGGAGGGAUGUGAGGAAACAUACAAGCUAACCCAGCAAAGUGAUCCAAAAAACAGAUCCUGGACAUGGAAAAGACAAUGUUUUCUGGAGACAGCUGGUACUGACUGACCUUUUGAAGAGAGGGAUGGUGAUUUUCAAGAAAGUUGAAUUAUUCUCUUUUAAGCAUUUAAAAAUGACUUUGUGAAGUGUUUUAUGCCAAAUUAAGAUAGGAUAAGCAAGAUCUUUGAUUUUUCGUACUUUUAUUUUAUUUCCUUGAUGACUUUUACCAGCGAUACUAGGGUAUGGAAAACAGCAUUUAACUAUUCCCAGGAGGAGAUGAAAUCAAUGGAAUUAAAGUAAAUGGAAGAAAACUUCUCCAGAUCUAAAUCUCAUGGUUUGUGCAAGGUUCUUUCUCGGCUCUUUGAUGGAAUUCUCUACUUAGACAAGAAUAGUGGAAGAAUUGACCAUUAUCUCCAAUUUUGGUCUGCUUGUCAGACCAACACUUCACAAGGUUCAUAAUGGUGGCAAGGCAGAAGACAGGGGCAUGAAACUACAGCAACUUCAUUUUGAUACUAUGCAGAACAGAAUCCAUUAACUGAGUCUCAGGAGUGAGGCUCAAGGACCUCUUGAUUAAGAAUUAAAUUACAGGCUUGUUUUUGCUGACUCCCCCGUUGGUAUGGGCACGAUGUGUUCUGUGACCCUGUGAGCUCUGACCUGUCACAGAUGUUAAAGAACUGCUUACAAAAACAGAGUUCAGAUUCUCACUCUGAUUCACUGUCUGGAUGUGUCAACAGAAUGAAAAAAAUUUGGAGAACUCAAAUCUGCUCCAAAUUGAGGGUGAUUUUUAUUUGGAGUUCAGAGGAAUUAUGCCAAAGCUGACUGAUGGCCUCCAUUUACACAAAAAGAGCUUUUUUGCUUUGAGAAAAUAAGGGCAAACUAAAUACAGCACCCUCGGGACAAAUCCAGCACCUUCUUGAACAGCCUCAGGACCCUCCGAACAGAUCCAGCUCCUUCUGAAAGGCGCGCAGCACCCUUACAACAGAUCAAGGACCCUCUCUCAGGCGCUCAGCACCAUCUGGAAGGCGCUCAGGACCCUCGGGACGCAUCCUGCACCCUCUGUCAGGUGCUCAGGACCCACGGGGAGAUCUAGAACCUCAGCACCGCUCAGCACCAGUCAGGAUAGUCAAAAAGCACGACGGGCGAUCUAGAACCUCAGCACCAGUCAGGAUAGUCUAGAACCCCG